CGGCCGCGGUAUCUUGACCGUGCGAAGGUAGCAUAAUCAUUUGUCUCCUAAAUAGAGACUAGUAUGAAUGGCAAGACGGAGCUCUACUGUCUCCUUACCCCAAACUUGAAUUUCACUUCCCCGUGAAGAGGCGGGGAUUAUUUCGCUAGACGAGAAGACCCUGUCGAGCUUACAGCAAAGUAAAGAUUUUCAGCUUCUAAUAGAACUUCUAAUUUUCAAAUUUAGAGCUAACUUUGAAAGAAAAAUCCUUACUAGCUUAAGUUGGGGCAACUGCGGAGUAAAUCAAACCUCCGUUAUUAUAAAUUUUAAUAAAGAGACAUAUCUCUAUACUAUCAUCGCAAAGACGAAAGAAUGAUCCACCUAGGUGAUCAAAAGAAAAAGUUACCGCAGGGAUAACAGCGUUAUCUUCUUUAAGAGUCCAUAUUGACAAGAAGGUUUGCGACCUCGAUGUUGGAUCGGGACAUCCUAGGGGUGCAGAAGCUUUUAAGGGUUGGUCUGUUCGA
rnacentral:rRNA from 1 species